UCCUAGUCCCUGAGACCCUAACUUGUGAGGCAUUUUAGUAACAUCACAAGUCAGGCUCUUGGGACCUAGG
rnacentral:pre_miRNA from 1 species